GACGAACGCUGGCGGCGUGCUUAACACAUGCAAGUCGAACGGGGCCUUUUGCGGAGUAAUCCAAGACUGGCCUAGUGGCGGACGGGUGCGUAACGCGUGAACAAUCUGUCCCUCAGCGGGGAAUAACACUUAGAAAUAGGUGCUAAUACCGCAUAAGACCACGGAGUCGCAUGGCUCUGAGGUAAAAGGACUUCGGUCCACUGAGGGGUGAGUUCGCGUCCCAUUAGCUUGUUGGUGAGGUAACGGCUCACCAAGGCUGCGAUGGGUAGCCGAUCUGAGAGGAUGACCGGCCACACUGGAACUGAGAAACGGUCCAGACUCCUACGGGAGGCAGCAGUGGGGAAUAUUGGGCAAUGGGCGAAAGCCUGACCCAGCAACGCCGCGUGAGGGAAGAAGGUUUUCGGAUCGUAAACCUCUGUCGCAGGGGAUGAAACAAAUGACAGUACCCUGCAAGGAAGCUCCGGCUAACUACGUGCCAGCCGCCGCAGUAA
rnacentral:rRNA from 1 species